AUUGAACGCUGGCGGCAGGCCUAACACAUGCAAGUCGAACGAGUGGCGGACGGGUGAGUUAUGUCUGGGAAACUGCCUGAUGUAGGGGGAUAACUACUGGAAACGGUAGCUAAUACCGCAUAUCUUAGUCUGUGCCUAGAUGGGAUUAGAUAGUAGGUGAGGUAAAGGCUCACCUAGGCGACGAUCCCUAGCUGGUCUGAGAGGAUGAACAGCCACACUGGAACUGGGACACGGGCCAGACUCCGACGGGAGGCAGCAGUGGGGAAUAUUGCACAAUGGGCGCAAGCCUGAUGCAGCCAUGCAGCGUGUAUGAAGAAGGCCUUCGGGUUGUAAAGUACUUUCAGCGGGGAGGCGUUACCCGCAGAAGAAGCACCGGCUAACUCCGUGCCAGCAGCCGCGGUAAUUC
rnacentral:rRNA from 1 species